UGGGGGAUAUUGCACAAUGGGCGAAAGCCUGAUGCAGCGACGCCGCGUGGGGGAUGAAGGCCUUCGGGUUGUAAACUUCUUUUGCUCUGAACAAGGCGAACCAUGGGGUGUGUUGAGUGUAGGGGUUGAUUCGCGCCGGCUAACUACGUGCCAGCAGCCGCGGUAAUACGUAGGGCGCGAGCGUUGUCCGGAAUUAUUGGGCGUAAAGGGCUUGUAGGUGGCUGGUUGCGUCUGUCGUGAAAGCUCAUGGCUUAACUGUGGGUUUGCGGUGGGUACGGGCUGGCUUGAGUGCAGUAGGGGAGGCUGGAAUUCCUGGUGUAGCGGUGGAAUGCGCAGAUAUCAGGAGGAAUACCGGUGGCGAAGGCGGGUCUCUGGGCUGUUACUGACACUGAGGAGCGAAAGCAUGGGGAGCGAACAGG
rnacentral:rRNA from 1 species